UACGAAGGGGGCUAGCGUUGUUCGGAUUUACUGGGCGUAAAGCGCGUGUAGGCUGGUCUUUAAGUUGGGGGUGAAAUCCCGAGGCUCAACCUCGGAACUGCCCUCAAAACUGGCGACCUGGACUCAAGCAGAGGCAAGUGGAAUUGCGAGUGUAGAGGUGAAAUUCGUAGAUAUUCGCAGGAACACCAGUGGCGAAGGCGACUUGCUGGGCUUGUAGUGACGCUGAGACGCGAAAUCGUGGGGAGCAAACAGG
rnacentral:rRNA from 1 species